UCCAGGUAGCUCAGACGGUAAAGCAUCUGCCUACAAUGCAGGAGACCCGGGUUCGAUCCCUGGGUCGGGAA
rnacentral:tRNA from 1 species